AAAAAAAAAAAAAAAAACUCACCAAAGAAGGCUGACUAUAUACAAAUCAUCCUCUAGCCCAUAACAAACCUUCCCUCUGUCUUGGUUUUAAAGGGCUCUCUCAGCUUACAAAUUGGGUACAACAAUUUCCUCCCCGUACUGAACCAUAAAGACUCACCACAAGGCGGUGAGUUACAAUGGAGUUUAUUCUUUUAAUAUCUUAUUUUGAUUUUCGUAUGAAUUUAAUUUUACAAUUUUUAUUUUUCAUUUUAGAUUAAUAAAAUUUAAGGUAGUUGUAGAAUUUUAGUCCAAUAUAUCAAGAAGGAAAGUCCCCGAUGAUAAUUGCCACCUAAACUAUGUUAUGCAUAUAAAAUAGCCUCUUAUUUGUAAAACAGUACACAACAAAGCUUGUCAUAUCACUCCAACGAUUUUCUUAAGUUUCCUUGAAUCAAAAUGGUCUAUCUAUAUACAAGAUUUACAACAUCACAUUACGGUAUCAUUCCAUCCAUCUAGCCAACAACUCCAGUGGGUAGAAGUUAUAUUUGAGUUUUUUUACUCCUUGUAGAUUAUGGAGUUUCUACCUCAGGUUACAAAGGUAGUAAAAAAUGGAGAUCUUACCUAAGGAUCAGCAAAGACAGAGAAUGAAACAGAAAAUAUGACAUAUUGUAAGAUCCUAUUUAAAAACAUGAAACUAAAUUCAUAUCGUAUAACAGCAAUCACCUUAAAAUUACAAACUAACACUCACAGAGUGCGAGGUGGGAAGGAUAGAAAUAGGUGAGAAAUAGGGUUGACAGAAAUAGAGAGAAGAAGAAUACAGUAAAAACCCCUUUGCUAGAUUAGGGUUUUUUAUGGCUUUCAGUUUUCAGUUAGUGGGUUGUAACAAAUCUAGUAAUUUUGGGUUAUAAAAACCCUAUCCUUGAUGAUAAAAGAUAAGCAGAAAUAUUCAGAUAAGUUGUGUGAGAAGUUGGGCAGUGUUACCUGGGUUCCGGUAAUAUAGCUGUGAGUGUGCGUCAGUGCAUUGCUUUAAGGAAUUGUGGAGGUGGAGAAAUUUUUGGAGUAGGUACCAAUUACAUGAACAGGUUUGGCACUGGAAGAGGUGGAAAAGGUUGAUAGCAGGGGACAGAGUAUCUGUCUGUGGGUUGCGGAAGGAGAAAAGUUAUUAAAAAUUGGUAUAAGCCGGGAAGGAUGAUUACUAACAAGGAGUUAGAAAGCAGAGUGUAUAUUAUCAAAAAGACCUUGACAGAUAUGUCAGCAACUCAAGAUAUUAUUCAGCAAAAAUUAACAAUGUUACAGCAGUCCAUUGAAAGUCUAGUCUCUUAUUUAGCUGUGUUGAAUUUGGGUCAUCAAGAACCAUCUACGUUAAGUAUCCAAGAAUCUUCAUAUGUUUCUGCUUCAAUUCUUGGACGUGCAGAGCUUCAAUUUCCAUCUUUUGAUGGAAUCAAUUACAGGGAGUGGGGGGCUAAGGCUGAACAAUUCUUUGAAUUAGAAUUUACUCUGGUGGCUCAACGAGGAAAAUUGUUGCUGCUGUCCAUGGAUGGAAAAGCUCUCUUGGCAACGACAUUACAUACAUCAACCUGAUUUCAAGAAUAAGUCUUGGCAACAAAUUUUACAGGAUAUGGCAUGCCGAUUUGAUGAUAGUGUGUAUGAUGAACCAACAGUGGAGUUAUCAAGAUUAAAACAAGGAUAAUUGGACAAGUAUUUGUAGGUUUUCGAUUCUCUAUUCGCUCAGGUGAUUGUGUCUCAAUCCAUGGGCUUGAGUUUCCUUUUGUCCAGAUUAAAGAUUGACUUGGAGGAAAUUGUCCACAUUCGUAUGCCUCGACCUUUGCAAGAGGCGGUGCAUUUGAGCAGACUUCAAUUGGAUAUUUUAAAGGAUUUAGAGAAGAAAAUGUUGCGAGGUAGGGUGAUAAGUUCUAAUACUCAAACCACAUGUGUAAGCACAGGGUUGGCACCAUGUAAUUCUUAUCAUACAUCUUCUAUCACCAGUUUGAAUUUUGUUUUAGCUAAUAUGGAUACUAAAGGUAACAAUUCAUCUUCUAUAUCUCGCAAAGAUGUUAGUGACAGAAUUGCUAAAGGUUUAUGCAGAUUUUGAGGUGAGCAAUGGGAUAAAAAACAUAGGUUGAAAUGUAAAGUUUGGGGUAAGCUCAAUGAUAUCUUCUCUGUUAAUGAAGCAAUUGAGUCAGAAAUAGGUUGAGCAACAGAUUAUGAAACUGAUCAAAUUUUUAUUAAUCAUAUCAUUGAUUUGAUUAAAGAAGUAGAUGAUCGGAAUUCACAUAAUGUUGUGCAGGGAAUCACAUGAUACCCAAGAGUUUUGAGCAGCCACAGAAGUUUUGAUUCAACGGACCGAAACAAAUCUAGAAGAUGCAGUAUGGCGUGAACUUCACCAAAUGCAACAACAGUUUCCAAAUUUUGAUUUGUCUUCUUAGAUCAGGUCCUAAGGACAAGACCUAGGUUGAUGGAGGGUAAAUUGUGCACACUGGAUUAACAUCCCGGUACCUCUCUCCUCUCUAUCCAAAAAAACUAAAGACAGAAGCAAAAGAUGUCAUGUGAUCAUUUCCCUCAACCAAAAAUUCAAUCAUCAAUAAAAUCAACUAUGUUGACAAAUUUAUCCACACCAUUCAGUUACAGGAGAGAUUAAAGAAAAUUACUAUAGUUAAGGAUCAAUUAUCAAAAUCCUGGAAUCAAACACAAGUAACUAACUUAGACAGUCCUUAACUGAUACAAGGCGAAAUUAAGUUAAGGCUAAUAA
rnacentral:lncRNA from 1 species